UACAGAGGUCUCAAGCGUUGUUCGGAUUCAUUGGGCGUAAAGGGUGCGCAGGCUGCGGGGUAAGUCGGAUGUGAAAUUUAGGGGCUCAACCUCUAAACUGCAUUCGAUACUGCUCUGCUAGAGGACUGUAGAGGAGAUUGGAAUUCACGGUGUAGCAGUGAAAUGCGUAGAUAUCGUGAGGAAGACCAGUGGCGAAGGCGAAUCUCUGGGCAGUUCCUGACGCUCAUGCACGAAGGCCAGGGGAG
rnacentral:rRNA from 1 species